GCUUGGAAUUAGAGCCAGCCAGGAGGGGCGCGCUGGGGAGGCUCUUUCCGAGGCCUCAUCCAGCAGAUACUCCCGCCAGCCACUCCGAAUGCACUCCCACUCCGCAGCCGCAGCCAGCCAUCAGCCGGUUGUGGCCACGCAAGGGCCAAGUUCUUUUGUUUGAGGUGUUCUCCCCUUUUCCCCUCAAAUCCUCUCCUUUCCAGGACCAUGAGCUUCCUGUUGCCAUUUUUCUAACCAACUGAAUUACAUGGGUAAUUGUGAACAAAGAUGGUUCCUGCUGGUCUCACCUUUGGAACAUACAAACUUAAGACUGGCCACAGCCUUGUUUCAAGAAGAGAAUCCAGGGUGGAGAAGGAAGGAGAUUCUUCCUCCCUCCCAGAGCCUCAGUGCCCGGCACGCUGGGAGCACCGGAGAGUCAACGUGCGGCCUCCCUUGACAGGCCAGCAGGCUUAGCAGACCAUGCAGAGCCAAUAAACAUCAUCUCCCUGGACUUUUAAUAAGGUUUUGAAUGGGUUUCCACUUAAGCAGUCCUUGAGAAAUUUGGAAAACAUGGCUGAGUACGAAAGUUUUAUUAAGCAGGAUGUCGGGGAAAUUAGUGGUGCCGUUUAGCACCCCCCCAAAAUCAUCUUUGGCAUUAAUUUGCUUUGCCCUAGGUGGUCUCCUAGCUACCCUGGCCCUCUUCCCCCGAUCUCUCUGCCAAUCUCAGUGGCCCUUUAAAAUCACAUAAUGUCCUUCAAAGGGACUGCGCAGCUUUGAGCGGGGCUGUAAACUGGGACUUGCAUAAAAUCUGGGGUCAAGGGAGGUAUAACGGAAUGAUUUAAGCAAACAAAGACCACUUUACGCUCCAACCUAAAUGUUGAAAACAUAAAACCAUUUUUAAAUACAUGCCGGCUAAGUAUGGGAGAAUAAAACUUCCUUUUGAAAAUAAACUCUGUCUUCUACAAUCAGUUUAUUAUACACCAUCGCAAAAGUGUGGUCCAGGCAGAGGGAAAAGCUUUGCAAAGGCAGACAAAGCAGCAGAAAUCGCCCAGUGGGUUCAGAGUGGGAAAAUUCAGGGUGGCUGCAGCACAGGGGCGUGAGGUGGCUGAGGCUGACGACAUUGCUCAGGGUUUCAGUCCCUCCUCAGACAGCCACCCGUAAACUCACAGCUACCCACCUGCAGGAGGCAAAAAACAGAAGGGAGAAAACAAUCGCCAUCGACAUUUACAGCCACCAUUACUAUGUGUCUCCUAAAUGGAGAGCACUGUGCUGAGAGGUUGCCAUAAUUCCCUCACUUGACUUCUCCAAAAAUUACGCAAGGAAGGCGUUAUCCCUUGCCUCACAGAUGACCUAGCCAUGGGCAUCGAGCUACGGUGGGAUUUAUACUCUGACCCCCCCACGCCAAAGCCCACACCCUUUGUUUUUGUAAACCACAUCAUAGAGAAGAUGAAUGUAAGGAUCUGUGCCUGUGACGACAUGAACCUUUCUCCUGGUUUCCUCACAUUUAUUAACAUCUUUUGUCUUUGAAAAAUCAUUUAUUUUUUUAAAAAAAUACAAUCACAUAUAGUUAAUACAGUACAUUCUUGUAAAAGCCAAACAAUUCAGAGCAAAUAGAAUGAAAAGUAAGAGUUCUGUUUGACAUUCCCUAUAAUUAAAAUUAUAGAUAUAACAGAAGAAUAUCAAACGAAAAUUUUUUAAAAGAGAAAAGAAACAAAAUCUAUAGUCCCUCCACUUAACAAAACAACUGGGAGCUGUUUAGAAUAUUACUUUUCAGUCUGUUUUUUCCUACCCUUGGGUGUUGGUUGUGUGAUAUAUCCCUGAUGUAGUUUGCAUCCCGCUUGCCUCUGAUUAUGCCAUGGGCAUUGUCCAUGUCAUCUGCCUGGUAUUCUUCUCCCUCGGAGUUACUAGCUGGGUGACAUUUAAUUGACAGCCAUAGUUUGCUUAACCAUCCCCCUAUUGCGAGCAUUUAGACUGUUUCUAAUCAUUUGCUAUUAUCAAGUGUGCUGUGAUUAAGAUCUCCAUGCAUUUUUUUUCCUUUCUCUAGCUUGGAUUAUUUCUCUAGCAUUCCCAGAAGUAGAAUUACUGGGUCAAAGGGUGUGAACAUUCUUAAAGCUCUUGAUCCAUCGUGCCAGAUUGUUUUCCAAAAGAAUUGAACCAGUUUUCGCUAUUUGGAAGCUUGCUACUUUCUCUGCGUGGGAAGUUCGGAGGAAAGACUUUGUUUAAGCCUUCGGAUUCUGCUUAACUGAAGUCACUACACUUUAAUUUUGCUGUUUCAUACGGCCCCUUUCAAAGUCUGUUGACAAUGUUUGACCAUCUGAUUACUGGGUGGAAGAUUUAUACUGGUCUCCCUGUCUCCAGGCUCUUCCUGCCUUCAAUCUGUUUUGUGCACUUCAGCCAGAUUAAUUCUUUUGGAAACAUCACUAGCCUUGUGUCACUGCCCUGCUCAGUAACUUGUAGUGACUCUCUAUUUCCUCCGGGAUCAAGUCCAGGCUCCUCUACUGGGUCUUGAAGACCCUCCACAAUAGGGUCCCACCCCCUUCCCGUUCAGUCUGAUCUCCUGCCACCUCAGCAGACACCUUCAGCCGCUUCCUUUCUAGUCCCUAAAUUAUGCUCCUUUUGCUUAUGGUUUCUCCCACCUGGAAUGCUUCCCCCUCCUUUCUACUGAGUCCAAAUCCUUCUCCGCUUCAGGGUGGUUCAGUCCUACCCAGUCAGUUGAGAAUUCUGCAAGAAGAGCCAUGGAAAGUGGGGAAAGACCUAGAAUCAAGAAUGCGGAAAGAGGGGAAACAAAAGAAGGAAAGCAGUGAAUAUGCCAUCAGGGGCCAGGGGGACAUGAGUGUCCUUACAUUAAAGGCGUAAAUAGUUGGCAACAGAGACCAGAACCAAGGCAAAAUUCUUUGUACCACUGAUGACAUUUAGGCUGUUUCUAAUGGCCUAAAAUGGGAAUCUGUGAGAAAGCAGGAUUGUGGGCUAGGGCUAAUAAAAUAAUGAUGACAAUAAUAAUUACAGUAUAUUAGUUAGGAUUAAUUUCACUUUGAGAAACUGAGACCUGAAAAAUAAUGUUUUAAAUAUGAGAAAAAUAUUUUAUGAAAAGAAACUCUCAGGAAGUCCAGAGCUGGAACAGCAGCUCCCUGCUCAGCAAGGACACAAGCUCUUUAACUCUCUGCAAUGUCAACCCCAGGAUGUUGUCCUCCUCCUUACGCUCUAAAAUAGUAGUUGGGGCACCAGCCAUCACAUCUAGAGUCCAGACCAAUAACAGUCAGAAGGAUGAUGAAGACAGUCUCCUCUGUUGAGAGACUUCCUGGAAGUUCCAUGCAAUGCUUCUGCUCAGAACUCUCUGUCCUAAUCACAUGGCUGUAUCUAGCUGCAAAAAAGUCUAUAUGCCCAGAUAACAAUCAGGGUUAUGUUACCGAAAGAAAAGAGAAGAAUGGAUUUUGGGGCACCCAGCUAGCCAUCUGUGCUACUGUCUAUUGAGGCACUGUGGUAAUCAAUUUAUAUCUAUUACCUCUUUUAAUUUGUAUCCCAAUUCUAUGAGCAAGCACAUAGUGGCAAGGAGAGCAAGACCCGGCCUGCCUCUGAGUUCAGGGCCUGGGCUCUUCUUUUUUCCUUUUUAGGCUUCAUUCGAAACUUAUUUUUCAUAAUAUAAAAAUCAC
rnacentral:lncRNA from 1 species